CCGGUAGCCGCUGUGUCGGGGCUGGGCCCUGGGUGAGACGCUGCAAUCCAAAGGGGGCUGCAGGGGGAUCGGCGAUUUCCUAGGCUUAUCCAGGGGCUGGGGUCAGGCCUCUGAUCCCCUACUUUCUCUUUGCAACCUGAGAAGGAGUCAGACGGCGCUGCUGGGCCUAGGUUGAGGGGGUCGUCAGGAGUUCAGGGCUGCAUGGGACUCCAGGUGGUUGGGACAGCACCAGAUGGUGGUGGGAUCCCCUCCCUCCGGCUCCAGACUCCGCCCCCAGGGACUAACAGAAUAACAUCCUCCUAAUCCCUGAUUUGUGUGCAGCGCCUUAGCUGAUGUCACUCCUAGACCCAAAAUGAAGGGUCUUAGACCCCAGUGCAUGGAAGGGGCAACAGGCCCAGAGAGGAGGAUUAGCUCUCUCGAGGUCACAUAACCAAUUAGAGUCAUGCUCACUGAGUGACAGAUGGAUUAUUAGCCAG
rnacentral:lncRNA from 10 species